ensembl:snRNA U1 U1 spliceosomal RNA
AUACUUACCAGGCAGGGGAAAUGCAGCGAUCAAGUAGGUGGCUUUCCCAGGGCGAGGCGUGUUCAUUGCACUUGGGGCUCGCUGAGCUCUGCAAUUUCCUCACAUGGAGGAAACUCAGCUGCAUAAUUUUUGAGAAUGGGGGACUGCGUGCGUGCUCUAA